CUCUCCUACAGUCACCCGCCGCCCUGGCGGCCAUUUUGCUUUAGGGCAAAACGCUGGGCGGGCCGCGGCUACGGAUGGCGGCCAUUUUGGAUAGGGGAGAAGAAGCUCGCGUUUGGCAGCCAUCUUGCUUGGGGGCAAUAUAGCCGUUAGGACCGGCGGAGGCGGGCACGGCGUGGCGGGAGACGCGGCGCGAGCGCGGCGUAGCACCGCUGCUCCCAAGCUGGGUCUCGUUGCAUGUAGCCGCCGCGUCUCAGGCUGCAGUCCCGCUUUCCCUGGAAACAGAGGCGCGCGGUGGCGGCUCGGAGUAACGGCCGUCCCUCAGGCUCCGCCUCCCGAAGCUUCCCGUUGAUUUUAAAAAAGCCGCCUCGUUUUCGCUGCCUGCCGUUGUGCCCCGUUCGCUCCUGCGCUCCUCUGCCUGAGUCUUCGUGCAGGUAUCCACCUCUUCUCACAUGUGAUAACAGCUCCCAAAGAUGGGCAGAGCAUGAACAGUUUGUAAUGUGAGAAGUUGCUGUAUGUAGGCAUGUGUAGCAGGAGUUUUCAGUUCUGUCAGCACUGAAAGCCACAUCUUCACUAAGGACCAGCUUACGCUGAGCUGUCAUGACAUCCAACAAGUUUGUCAUUAAGUGUGGGAACUUUGCUGUUUUGGUAGAUGUUCAUAUUUUGCCCGAAGGCUCCAAUAAAGACACCAGCUGGUUUUCAGAUCAGGAGAAGGAGGAGGUCUGCAUGUACCUAGAAGAGGUGGUCGUGUCACGGAUCAAACGCUACUUGGAAGCACGUAAGAAGCGUGGUCAGUGGAAGUCAGUGGAACAUGCAUCGUCAACUCCUCUGUUCAUUACAGCCAACAAUUUUCACAUUACUGCCUACUUUAUGAAGAGAUGGGUUAAUCUCCGUUGUGCUCUAGGGAAACAUUAUCGUGAGCUACGUAUGUUUCCAGACAAAUUUGUUGUUUGUAUCAGUAAACUUGAAUUUAAUCCAAGCGCUUGGACAUGUGAAAGCGGUGCACUGAAAGAAGUUUCCAAUGGGACAUCUGAAUAUUUUUCUGAAUCUGCUGAAAACAGAAAGCUUCAGCUUAGUCUGAACGAACAGAUAAAGCAAGAUAUCUUGAAGGAAAUUGUGAAAAGGACAAAAAAGGGGAAAAAUAGUGUGAGCAAACCUCAAACCAACAAGGACUCCAAGAAAGUGGAUCUUGGCUCAGUGGGCUUACAGACAGGGAACAGAAAGAAUGACUGUCAAACUUCUCCCAGUCCUCAAUCAGAAGCGAAAUGGAGGAGCACAGGAUGGCUAAAGAACUGCAUAAAUACAGCUGAGAGCAACUUGGAGUUUCCUGUUUCAGAGCUGGAAAAUAAUGUUAAUCAGAGACAGGCAGAGGAUGCUAGCAGCCAGCAAAAACCUCAUUCUGUGGAGCGGUUGAAGUCAAGACUUCUAAGCAAAAAUUCUCCUUGUAGCUAUGAGUCAGCACUGCUAGGCCCAAAACAAAAUCAAAAAAUAUCUGAAACACAGUCUCAACAAAAGAGUUGUAGUUCUGAAGAAAAGUUAAACCAUUUCAAAGAAAUAUCCUCUGAAGAGACUCCUUUUAUUCCUGGCAACACAGAAAGGAGUAAGUGCAGUGAUGAUCACCUAGGUCUGUUCUUGGAGGAGAAGACCCCACUUAAUUCCAGGUUGUUUUCUAAACAAGACUUUAAAAAAAUUGCAUCUGAUGAAAACUUACAUACUUUUGGAACAAAACAAUCCCAGCCUCUUUCUAUGAGGACAAACCAAAAUGAGCCAGACACAACCACUGAAGAAUUACCUGUAGUGCCUUCAGCAUCCUGUUUAGAAAUGCAGACUGUGUCUUCAAAGAAGCUGAUCCAAAAAAGGAAAAAAGAAGGUGAAGAUGGUCUCAGGAAGUUAAAACUACGAAGGCUUAAGAAACCAUAAAGUCUGAAAUAUCACCAUGGUAGUGUGGGCAGACAGCCAGAUUUGUGCUUGGAAAGCAUAUACAAAAACCUGUUUACGUGUUACAGUGCUUUGCAGUAAGGUUGCUAAUGCUUGCCAAUCUUCAGGCUCUGCAGAAAGGUCUUUCCUAGUAGCAAGCAAAAGGAAGGCUGUAAAUGAAACUGGGUUUGGAAUAACAGCCUGAGUAUCCAGAAAACUGUACGAAGGAAAGAUUGGGCAAUGGGGAAACAGCAGCACAUCGAGCCUUUCAUCAAAGGGAUAUCAGGGUGUUCUGCUGCUGAACCUGAGAGGAGUAUGAAUAUGCUUAUUUUGAUGGUUGAGAGCAAGCAGUUUCUUCAUGGUAAUGCAUGUUGGUUAAAGAGCUCAUGCAAAGUCUUUCAUCAACUUGUUCAUCUGUUUCUUAACACAGUUCUCCCUUCUUGCUCACUUCUUUAUUCCACAUAACUUCCUGGAACCUGGUAGUGUGUGACCUUGUCUCUUCCACAGUGGCAAGAAGGUGACAUUUUUAGAUUGGGACUUUUUGUUCAACAUUGGCUUAUGCUAAGAAUUUGUAUAAUAGUUGUGAAAAUGAUGUUGUGCCCUAGAGCAUUUCAGCUAUAACCUGGAAUUUGUCCAGGGAAGUAGCCUCCAACAUCCUAACUCCUUUACCACGUUUCAGUUAUUCCAGAGUCAGGAAUUCGUUGCUGUGAGAGGUAGCAACGUCCUUUUUGUGAAUGAGAAAUUCACUGAUUUGCUCAUAUGUUGCCAGAUACAUCCUUUAGUAGAGCUGAGACAACCCCUUCAGUUACUACCUCAGCAACAAGAAUUGGUAAUCUAGCUCUGGAACUGCUUUAUUUUCUGCCAGAAUAAUUGUCUUUUUGAUUAUGCACCAAAUCUUUAAGGAAAAGAGUCUAGAGCUAUAAUUUGAGAGAUGUGCAUGCCCCUUUUUAAUAUUCAUGUGAUCUCAUAACGCUAGAAUGAAAAGAAUAGAAGUUUAUUCCUCCACCCUGUAGAGAAACUGGUUGGAACAAUUUGCACAUCACAGAGAAGGAGCUGGCUGGAAGCUGUGGGCUGCAACUCUGGUCUGACGCCUGCCUGAUACCGCAGCGCUCCGCGGCUGCCCCAGUGCUCGGUGAGCCAUCUGCCAACCAUCCGAUGGCCAACAGACUGCUCACAACCUUCAACUCUUUUCUCCUCCACGUCCCAGAAUUGGAAUUAAUCACAUUCAGCACAGACAUUUUUCUGUUUGGUUUUGUAUUCCCAAACCAAGGGGAAAAAUGGCUAGCCUUUAAAAACAGACUCUGUAAACAGUAAUCAUAAUGACCACUGGUGUUACUACUGCAAAAGGAGAAGCUGAAAAAUUCUUGAAUAUCAAGCAUCUGUUAGUAUCUUGCUUCUUUUAGAAAGGGAGGAGGAGCUUAUGCAAUCACUUCCAUCAUCUGGGGAGGAAAAGGCUGAAUUUGGUACUUCCCUUGUCAGAACUUCUCAUCUUCUUUGCAGACACAAAUAUAAAAAUUGCCUUUGCCUUGUGACUUGUUCCGGGGGAACCCUGCAAAGCCAAAGGGCUGCAAUCCAAGCUAGAGGAUGAAGGCUGGAGCAGGCACGCUGGGGAUAGCAGAUGACAAGCUGCAUCAUCCAGUCUUCAAGGAGCAAAGGAGAAAGUAACCAUGUACAUUUUCUAGCUUGCCAGGGAGCUGAUUAAUAAUAUUAACUCUUGCCAUGGAGAAGUGUCCAUUGGUGCAAGAACAAGUAUUGCUACUAUAAAGAGAAAAAUAUUUUCAUCUGUGAAGAUAGCUGGAGGAUUGCUAGUUUCAUAUUUAUGCCCUGAGCUGGUUUGUAUUACUUAGAUGCUGGGCUUCAGAUAUACAAGAGCUGUCUGGCUGUCAUUUGCUUGUAUUAACAACACAGAAAUAGCCGUUCCCAAGGCUAUCUUUCACCCAGUGACAUGAAUUUAUUGUCAGGCUGAUGUAAUAUGCAUCGUCAGCAGCUUUUUUGCUACUCACCUCCAUGUAAGGUGGGCCCUUUCCAUGUGGAGGUGCAGUGACUUUGAUGUGGCUGUGUUCAGUUCACGUUGAACCAAACCCAGAUUUGAUGGGCUCAGUUAACCAUAGGAAUAGCAGAACUGUGGGAGCAAAGAGGAGCAACUUAUGAACUUUAAAAAUAUGUUUAAAUGGCAGCUCAAGAAGCACACAUUUUUCAUUCUUAGAUAAAUAGGAAUCCAAACACACUUGCAGCAGGAGGCUUCUCAUGACUAAACAGAACGCGUCUUCCCAAAGUAGUAAACCAUGAAUGAACAGUUUCCAUAAAUGUAAACAUGCCUUGAUAUUCUAAUGGAAAAGCCUUAAAUGUUUGUAUUUCUAUUUAUUUUCAUCCCAAUAGAAAACAUUUUGUAUAUCAACCCUCCACUGGGGGGUAGUUCUGGGCUUUGGAAGACUGCUUUUUUUUUUGUAAAUUCUCCAGUGUAAAGUAAGCUUGAAGCUACCACUGAGAUACAAGGAUAUAAUGUAACUUUUACCUCUCUGAUUUUGUGAGGCCAUCAGGUUAUGAUGAGUUACACAGGAAAUCAACGCCGUAACAAAACCUCUGCAUGGUCAACACAGGGCUUUGUUGCCACGGAAAAAAUAUAUAAAAAUAAAUUAAUACUAUGCUCAACAUUUUGCUUUAUGCUGUCUUUGGAGAUCUAAAUAGCAUUGGCACUGUGUUAGAUGAUUAAGUCUAAUUAGAAUUUGCCUCAGCAGGCUUUGAAGUAGCAUGUCACAAACACGUUCCCAUGACUAGCAGAAAUCCUGGUGUUCUGUUUUGUUGGGUUUUUUUUGUUUUUUUUUUAAUUUUGCUUAGUAGAAGGCUGUCUCGAAUUUGAAGGAAUAAGCCCAAGUGUAAAUGUUUCUGUGAUUUAUAAGCAGUAGAUGGUUUUGCACUGUUGAAGUUGAGACCUCUGUGAAGUGUAGACUAGAGGAAGGUUGUUAAUUCAAUGUUAUAGUACAGAAAACAAGUCAGUUGAUAGCCUCACUGUGCCUCUAAGCCAGGUGGAGGAUUCCAUUAAGUGGCUUUUUUAGAUGCAACUUCUUUGCUUUAUUGCAGAUUGUAGAAAUUUAGGAACAAAGGAAAAAGAAUACUUAUGGGAUUUGUUUAGGUAUUGUUGAAGUGGAUAGAUGAAGGUAAUCUUGUCAAUUUUUCCUUCAGCAAGCAGUAAACUGGUGAUUCCCUGGUACUUCAGCUACAUGACAUGCAACUGUGAACAGUUAGAGCAGUAACCCUUUCAAGGUAUUAUGUAGCAACAAGUUAGAAUCUCAUCUUAAAAUAAGCUUGAAAAAAAAAGUAACACUAAAGAAUGAGAUUUUACCUUUUUUUUUUUUUUUUUUUUCUCCAAAUGGUGAUAAAGACAGUACAGAACAGUAGGUCUUGUGCUCAGAUUAUUUUCAAGUGUUUGUAUUAUAACAAUCUUUAUAUAAGCUAUCUGCAUUUAUUACAAACAAAUAUGAAAGAAAAA